ACGCGACGACGACCAAAAAAGUGGGAAUGCACAAAUAAAAAUAUCUAUUUUUUGCCAAAAAUACCGUUCCAAAUGUAUAAAAAACGAGAAAUUAUUUGUCUAUUAUAAGUUUAAUCGCGAUUUUAUCAAAAAUAUACUAUUUUUUAACACUUUAAAGAUCUAAAAAGAUUGAAAAAGGCGGACACGAUGUUGACAACAAUGUGCAACGGUUAAAACUGAAAAUUUCAAGAUGGCAACCCGUAGUAGGCGGAAGUUGCCACUCCUUUAUGGUUUUGGCGCCAAAAAAUCAACAACUACAACGCUCCUUGCGGCGACGCUUGACACUAAGUAGAGAAGAAGAUUACUGCGCAUGCGCAUUGCUAUUACAAAAUGGCUGCCGUGCUUGCAGAGAGUAGACACUUUGCUUGUUUGUCGAUGAAUAUUUCUAUCAAUACGCAGUGUAAAUAUCAAUUUUAUCAACUAAUUCGGCUCACGUAGUGUAAAUAGUAGUCGAGAAUUCAGAAUUUGUGUUUGGAUUGAAGAAAUUUGCGAAGUGGAACUGGAUGUCACAAGUUUUCCGCAAGUCUCCACGGUGAGAUGGCAUUUCAUGAAAUUCACUCUCAAACUUCUGUGAGGGGUGAUUGUUUUCUCUGGAGAAAAUCGAAUGAAGCACGUUCAUUCAAGCGCCAAAAACAUGCCAUCCACGCAAUCGAUAGAAAAAACCUGAAAAUCACAGAAACAUCGCAUAAUAUUACGAAAUUCCAUACAAGACAUCAAAUUUAUUUGUUGGAAUUACUUUUACGAAGACUAAAUUCGUAACAUAAAUAGAAAAUUGCAGUAAAUAAAAGAAAUAAAUUCUUCAAGGACAGGUCAUUCGAAUUUAGCACCAUCUAGCGGCGCCACAGUCAACUCGUUCACUGUCAUCGCUAGCAGAAAGGUCAGGGUUGGUGAGUCGCACCGCUCACAAAGGAACAGUACCAUGAGCACCACCGCAUUAUCUUGGCACAUGGGCGGCAGACGAGAACUCUCCGUGUUUGAAAACACAUGGCAGCUGACUUUCACACCUCGCAGGAUGAAUGCUUCAAACUGUUGAACAAAAAGGACUUGUGUGACUGGAAUCUCCGAGUGAGUUUGAGAAAUUUUGAGUGAGAUCGUAUUUGAAUGUACUUUGCAACAGAAAUUCACCGUGUCGCAGGACGACAAGGUCCUAGCCGACGCAAUUUUUUUCAGACAACAAAGCAACC